UACGGAGGAUGCGAGCGUUAUCCGGAUUUAUUGGGUUUAAAGGGUGCGUAGGCGGACUGUCAAGUCAGCGGUAAAAUUGAGAGGCUCAACCUCUUCCCGCCGUUGAAACUGGUGGUCUUGAGUGGACGAGAAGUACGCGGAGUGCGUGGUGUAGCGGUGAAAUGCAUAGAUAUCACGCAGAACUCCGAUUGCGAAGGCAGCGUACCGGCAUCCAACUGACGCUGAGGCACGAAAGCGUGGGGAUCAAACAGG
rnacentral:rRNA from 1 species